UAAAAAUAAAACUUUAAAAAAUUAGAUUAAUUAUAGUUAUUAUCUUAAAAUUUAAUAAAUUUGGCGGUAUUUUAUUCUAUUCAGAGGAAUUUGCUUUAUAAUUGAUAUUCCUCAUUAUAUCUUACUUAAUUUUAUUUAGUUUGUAUAUCAUUGUCUUUAGAAAAUCUUUAAAAAGAAAUAAUUUUCAUAAAUAAUAAAUUUUAUAUAUGUCAAAUCAAGGUGCAGCUUAUAGUUAAGAAAAAGUUAAUUACAAUAAAUUUAUUUAAUUGGAUUUUUAAUUUAAAUAUUUUAAUGAAAUUGGAUUUGAUAGUAAAUUUAAUAAUUAAGUUAAAUUGAUUUAAGUUUUAAAAUGUGU
rnacentral:rRNA from 1 species